GUGCUCCAUAUGAGUAAAGAAAAUAACAAUUCAGGAAAAUGCCCGAAUCCUCACUGCUUAUGUGAGAUGAAUUUUUGGGGUAAAAGUUGCCCCAAAGGUGACCUGCCUACUUUGCGGGAUGCCUGGGUGUCGUGAUCUGUCCA